AUACGGAGGGUGCGAGCGUUGUUCGGAAUUAUUGGGUGUAAAGCGCGUGUAGGCGGUAUGAUAAGUCUGAUGUGAAAGCCCCGGGCUCAACCCGGGAAGUGCAUUGGAAACUGUCAGACUUGAAUACGGGAGAGGGCAGUGGAAUUCCUAGUGUAGGAGUGAAAUCCGUAGAUAUUAGGAGGAACACCGGUGGCGAAGGCGGCUGCCUGGACCGAUAUUGACGCUGAGACGCGAAAGCGUGGGGAGCAAACAGGAUUAGAUACCCUGGUAGUCCACGCCGUAAACGAUGAGUACUAGGUGUUGCGGGUAUUGACCCCUGCAGUGCCGCAGCUAACGCAUUAAGUACUCCGCCUGGGAGGUACGGCCGCAAGGCUAAA
rnacentral:rRNA from 1 species